rnacentral:misc_RNA from 1 species
UAACGCAGCUCUAUCUGGAUAGCCCAUAUUUGUAAGAGCCAAUACUUGUAGUUGGCCCAUUGACAAUCAGAGAUUUGUGAUAAAUAUCAUGUGCCAUGAUGGCACAAUGCCAGUGGUUUGGGGAACUACAUGUGUUAACAUCCUCUGGUAUAAUACAGCAUUGGCAACCAGGACUGUUAUGGCUUCAAGAGGGCGGUGUCCUCAUUCAUUCACUAUCAUCACUAUCGUAGUUCUGGCAGAGGGACUGGAGAACAUUGGUUUGCUUCGCAGGUUCACUUUUUUGUUCAUCAUCUUGGCCUUUCCCGGUGUCUUGGACAGCCGUGGAUUCAAUCUUCUGUCUCUUAUGAGAAUCUGCGCUUGCAGACUUCGGUUUCACAAUAAAUUUGGGCAUCCAGCUCUUGCUCCCUACAAAACAUGCCCAAGCCCAACAGUAAGUUUACACAUGAAAAUAUGUCGCAAAUCUACAUAUAUAGGGGGCAAG